rnacentral:lncRNA from 1 species
CUCCAGGCCGUCCUCGUCGCCGCUGCUGCCGCCGCCGCCGCCUUCUUCCUGGGCAUGGUCGCGGCUGGAGGGAGACACGGGGCAGCGGCGCACAAUGGACGGGUUAUAAACUGCGCGGGGGGAGGGGAGCGGAGACGAGCCACCCGGCCUCCACUUCCUCCUCUGCCCUCCCCAAAGUGGCGGCCGCAGGGUGGGCGGAGAGGGGGCGAGUUGGGAGAGGAAAUCGCGCCCCUCCCUGGCCCCGGCGCGGCUCCUUCGGGGAAUCCCGCAGGGCAGCCGGGAGCCCCAGAGGCAAUCCCCUGGAGGGAGAAUUGAGACCCCCGGCCUAUCCGUAAGUUAGGUUUGCCCACAAAGCAUCACAGUUGCAACCUCGCCCCCCAAAAGUAAAGGGAAAGUAAAACCAGCCUCCAGUCCCCUAGAUUUUCAUUAAAGAAGGCUUCGGGACACUUCCAGGAUUCCCCCUUGGCACCUGGGUGGUAAGGGAGCCCCUGCUCCCCGGCUACCCCACCUGCUGCUUUUGUCUCCGCAGUCUCCCCCCAAACCCACUCAUGGCAUUUAAUGCAACGCUCUCCCCCACCCCGCAUCAGCCCUGGACCCCCGUUCGGCCCCAGCUCAGGGGUGCCGACCUCGGGCUCUAGUUAGCCGAAUCCCUACGGCGGACUGCCCCCGGCGACGGGGGAAGAGCCCGAAGAAAGCUGGACCCCAGCCCCAAACACCUGCUCGCACAGACACGAAAAAUAAAAACUUUAAUGGUGCCCAACUCUCUCCCAGCCCCCUUGCCGGCCGUGCGGCCCGGCCGGUCUCCGAUUCGACUGCAAAGUGUCCAGGGCCGCCGCCAGCUCCCCGGCGUCCCUGCGCUCUCCCCUG